rnacentral:rRNA from 1 species
AUUGAACGCUGGCGGCAGGCCUAACACAUGCAAGUCGAGCGGUAACACAGGGAGCUUGCUCCUGGGUGACGAGCGGCGGACGGGUGAGUAAUGUCUGGGAAACUGCCUGAUGGAGGGGGAUAACUACUGGAAACGGUAGCUAAUACCGCAUAACGUCGCAAGACCAAAGAGGGGGACCUUCGGGCCUCUUGCCAUCAGAUGUGCCCAGAUGGGAUUAGCCAGUAGGUGGGGUAACGGCUCGCCUAGGCGACGAUCCCUAGCUGGUCUGAGAGGAUGACCAGCCACACUGGAACUGAGACACGGUCCAGACUCCUACGGGAGGCAGCAGUGGGGAAUAUUGCACAAUGGGCGCAAGCCUGAUGCAGCCAUGCCGCGUGUAUGAAGAAGGCCUUCGGGUUGUAAAGUACUUUCAGCGGGGAGGAAGGCGUUGAGGUUAAUAACCUCAGCGAUUGACGUUACCCGCAGAAGAAGCACCGGCUAACUCCGUGCCAGCAGCCGCGGUAAAAC